rnacentral:rRNA from 1 species
GCUCAGGAUGAACGCUAGCUACAGGCUUAACACAUGCAAGUCGAGGGGCAGCAUGGUCUUAGCUUGCUAAGGCCGAUGGCGACCGGCGCACGGGUGAGUAACACGUAUCCAACCUGCCGUCUACUCUUGGACAGCCUUCUGAAAGGAAGAUUAAUACAAGAUGGCAUCAUGAGUCCGCAUGUUCACAUGAUUAAAGGUAUUCCGGUAGACGAUGGGGAUGCGUUCCAUUAGAUAGUAGGCGGGGUAACGGCCCACCUAGUCUUCGAUGGAUAGGGGUUCUGAGAGGAAGGUCCCCCACAUUGGAACUGAGACACGGUCCAAACUCCUACGGGAGGCAGCAGUGAGGAAUAUUGGUCAAUGGGCGAGAGCCUGAACCAGCCAAGUAGCGUGAAGGAUGACUGCCCUAUGGGUUGUAAACUUCUUUUAUAAAGGAAUAAAGUCGGGUAUGCAUACCCGUUUGCAUGUACUUUAUGAAUAAGGAUCGGCUAACUCCGUGCCAGCAGCCGCGGUAAUACGGAGGAUCCGAGCGUUAUCCGGAUUUAUUGGGUUUAAAGGGAGCGUAGAUGGAUGUUUAAGUCAGUUGUGAAAGUUUGCGGCUCAACCGUAAAAUUGCAGUUGAUACUGGAUAUCUUGAGUGCAGUUGAGGCAGGCGGAAUUCGUGGUGUAGCGGUGAAAUGCUUAGAUAUCACGAAGAACUCCGAUUGCGAAGGCAGCCUGCUAAGCUGCAACUGACAUUGAGGCUCGAAAGUGUGGGUAUCAAACAGGAUUAGAUACCCUGGUAGUCCACACGGUAAACGAUGAAUACUCGCUGUUUGCGAUAUACAGCAAGCGGCCAAGCGAAAGCGUUAAGUAUUCCACCUGGGGAGUACGCCGGCAACGGUGAAACUCAAAGGAAUUGACGGGGGCCCGCACAAGCGGAGGAACAUGUGGUUUAAUUCGAUGAUACGCGAGGAACCUUACCCGGGCUUAAAUUGCAGAUGAAUUACGGUGAAAGCCGUAAGCCGCAAGGCAUCUGUGAAGGUGCUGCAUGGUUGUCGUCAGCUCGUGCCGUGAGGUGUCGGCUUAAGUGCCAUAACGAGCGCAACCCUUGUUGUCAGUUACUAACAGGUCAUGCUGAGGACUCUGACAAGACUGCCAUCGUAAGAUGUGAGGAAGGUGGGGAUGACGUCAAAUCAGCACGGCCCUUACGUCCGGGGCUACACACGUGUUACAAUGGGGGGUACAGAGGGCCGCUACCACGCGAGUGGAUGCCAAUCCCCAAAACCUCUCUCAGUUCGGACUGGAGUCUGCAACCCGACUCCACGAAGCUGGAUUCGCUAGUAAUCGCGCAUCAGCCACGGCGCGGUGAAUACGUUCCCGGGCCUUGUACACACCGCCCGUCAAGCCAUGGGAGCCGGGGUACCUGAAGUGCGUAACCGCGAGGAGCGCCCUAGGGUA